rnacentral:rRNA from 1 species
CCUACGGGUGGCUGCAGUGGGGAAUAUUGGACAAUGGGCGAAAGCCUGAUCCAGCCAUGCCGCGUGUGUGAAGAAGGCCUUCGGGUUGUAAAGCACUUUCAGUGGGGAAGAAAGCCUUGGGGCUAAUACCCUCGAGGAAGGACAUCACCCACAGAAGAAGCACCGGCUAACUCCGUGCCAGCAGCCGCGGUAAUACGGAGGGUGCGAGCGUUAAUCGGAAUUACUGGGCGUAAAGCGCGCGUAGGCGGUUUGAUAAGCCGGUUGUGAAAGCCCCGGGCUCAACCUGGGAACGGCAUCCGGAACUGCCAGACUAGAGUGCAGGAGAGGAAGGUAGAAUUCCCUGUGUAGCGGUGAAAUGCGUAGAGAUCGGGAGGAAUACCAGUGGCGAAGGCGACCUUCUGGACUGACACUGACGCUGAGGUGCGAAAGCGUGGGUAGCAAACAGGAUUAGAUACCCUUGUAGUC